rnacentral:rRNA from 1 species
AUGCGGCGGGAAGAAGUGGCAUUUAGAAGUGUUGCUGACUUUACAUUUAGGUUUCGGCAUAACAAAGCUUGCACUGUCUUUUCGCACUUAGGCGCACAGCGUGCCGUUGGUAAUGAUUCUACUAUGGUGCUGCAAAUUCGCAAGCUGAUCCUAAGUAAUCGUUGUUGUUCAUUGGAUUCCUCCGGAAUUACUUCGUUAGGAUUGAAGAAUUGCUGCAAUUCUUCCUGA